UAUUUUCUCUGACUUUACAUCACUCUGUAGAUUUAAAAUGUUUCUGGAUGUUGUGCUGAAGAACUGUUUCCUACAGUGUUAGCUGUCUGUAAAACAGAGAGUCAGUUCAGAGCAGGAUGUGGGCUAACAAUGUGUUUCUGACCUUACAGAUAUGGACAACCGUGAGCUCUCAGACAAACUGAAUCCAAAUACCUAACUCCUAAACCCAUCACCCUGCACCCAGUUUAUGGAUACAUUUAUCAGUGGAUCAAUCAGCGGAGCCACGUUCUCCUCCAUAAACUGAACUCAUCAGUUCUUCAUCAUCAAAUCAUAAACUGGUAGAAUCAGGGCUGGGAUCUAGUUGGAGAUGCUCUGGUCU